CCACCACCGCCGCCGCCCGACAUCCUUCUCGGCCGUCCUCCGGGUUUCUCGCAGCCGCCGACACGAACGGGAGGGCCCGUGACGGCCCGGCAACGGAGUUCCCGGUGAAUAUGUUGGGCCGCUCAGGUUCUAUAAAGACCCGGAAAGGCUGCUUGCAAACAACCUGCCGUGGAGUCGCUGGAGAAUAAAACAGGCACAAUGUGGAGAACCGGACGGUGCUGGACUUGAGUUUAAAGUAGUCUCUUUAAUUGUGCUGGAACCUUGUUCAGAGUUGUUGGGCAUAUCCAUUUCCAUCAUUUUUCCACAAGAAAAGUCUGGUUUGGAAUAGACCGUGGAAUGAAAUUUCUUGGCGACGAUCCUCACUACACCUGUCCGGUUAAUCCGGUUGAAUUUAGUGAGGUCUGUUGCUGAAUGCCUGCUUUUAAUGUCCCAGGAUUUAAUAAUUUCAUUGAACCCAAGAUAGGCCGGGGAAGUUCUGGCGGUCAUUUGAUGUUACUUUUUCUCUUGAUCAAGCCUGCUUUCUUCCUAAAACAGAAAGAAUUUCAGAAAAAAAUACAGGAAAUCCUUCAUGAAAAAAUAUGCAAUUUUUGAAUGCGAUGAUUAUAAAGUGUAGCUCCUACUUCUGUAAAAUAGCCAUAGGACUUAGUUUUAUAUACCGCUUCACAGUGCUUUACAGCCCUCUCUAAGCGGUUUACAGUAUCAGCAUAUUACCCCAACAAUCUGGGUCCUCAUUACCAAUUUAACAUUAUUAUAUGAGUAAAUAAAACUGGUCUACAAAGUGGAAAAUACUCCAGAUUUCCUAAUAUAUAUAUAGAAUAAACUGAUUUGGUACUUCGUAUUGAUUAACUUCAGAAAGCUUAUUUUAGUCUUACUGUGGGAAAUGGAUAGGCAGCAGGUGCCUUGGCCCCCCCAAAAAUGAAUAAAGUGUUAUGCUCACAGAUGCACAAGCAAUAUAAUAUAAAAAGCAGCUGAGGGACUGACUUUUUUGAAGUUACAUACAUGCUUAGCCAUUAGCUACCUAAUGAAUGAGCAUGUAUGUAAGCAAGAUGAUAUACAUGCCCUUCCUCUGGGCAUGUUUGUAGAAUGAGUCAUCACCUUCAACAGUAAAUGAGAGAGAGUAGAAAAACCUAUAGUCAUUUGUACCCAAUUUAAUUAUUUACAUUUGUUAGAGGGCAGAUUGAAAGUCCAAAUGAUUAAAUUGCUUAACAAAGUAAUCAGUGGUAUGUUUAAGUUAACUAUGAUCCUUUCUUAGACGUAUGACUUGGAAUUCUGAGUUCCGGUCACUUCUAUCAUUGUUCUGGGUCUAUAUCUUUAAGUACUGAGUAAUUAAAGUCUGUUGAUAUAAAGUCAGGUUAAACAAAUGCCAACUCAUUAAUUUGAUUACUUGAUUGUUAUCAAAUUAAUAAAAUGGUUAUACAAAUAUAGAAAAGUUAAGAAUGGAUUUCUCUAAGCAAAAAAACUGGCCAAAUUCCAGGAAUGCUUGAGUUUCCAAAGAGUCCCAUCUGUGCACCAAUUGUUCAUCAAUUAAUAAUGAAUUUAGUUCCAUGUUAUUGUGACUUGGAGAAAUAUAUAUGUUCUAUAUUUUAUCAUAUAAAUUUUAUGUUGCAAUUAUCAACUUUAAAAUUACUGUAUUUUUCAGUGUAUAAGAUGCAUUUCCCCCUCCAAAAGUAGGUGAAAAUGUCUGUGCGUCUUAUAGAGCUAAUGUUGCCGGAGCCCCGCUGGCCCCCACCCUUCGGUCCCUGCUUCCCAGUAAUGGGAGGCCUGGUCAACUUCAGCACAGCCUGAUUUAGCAUGAGCAGCUGAUUGGCGGUUGGAUCGGCCUCCCUGAAUACUCCCUGAAUACUGCCUAACAGCUGUUCCACACUGCGAGGAUUGCCACCCCCCUUUGCUGACCAUCGCAGCCUCCAUUUUCAGCCUCCGUGCAUCCCAUUUUCAGCCUCCGCAUGCCCCAUUUUUGGCCCGUUCCAGGCAGCGGGGAUAGGCAAUCCCCACCAACUGGAAUGGCCUGAAAACAGGGUGCACAGAGACUGAAAAUGAGGUGCGAGGAGGCCGAAAAUGGGAGCCAUGUGGAGGCGGUGAUAGGUGGUGUGGCAAUAGCAGCUAUGGAGGGUGACAAUCCCCACAGCCUGGAACAGCUGGUAGGCGGUAUUCCGGGAGGCAGAUCCAACCGCCAAACAGCUGCUCAUGCUAAAUCAGGCUGUGCUGAAGCUGACCAGUCUGUUUGCUGUUUGAUGCAAGGAGGCAAAUUGCUGGGAGGCAGAAACAGAGGCAGAUUUUUUUUUUCUUGUUUUCCUCCCCAAAAGCUAGGUGUGUCUUAUAGUCUGGAGCGUCUUAUAGUCUGAAAAAUACAGUAUGUGUUCCGGGAUGUGGAGACCUGUAAUGCAUUGAUUUUGGAAAGCAUUAUCCUGAGAGCUUUUUACAUAAUAAAUUGCAAAGAAUUCAUUUAUGGAUGCACAGAAUUUAUUUCCAAUUUCUUGAUAAUUGUCCUUUUGUCUUCUGUUAAGCUUGUGCUUCUGAUAGCGACCGAUUUCUUUCCCAUAAAAUAAAUGCUAGGUCAUCGUUUUAAAAAGACUUUUCAUAGAUUCCCUCCUAUACUGGAGUGUAAAACUAGGUAGAUUUUUUUUUUAAUUGGGCAAAGUAGUGGCACAUACAAAGAUGAACAUCGAACAAUUGAAAGAAGCUGUGCUUGACAGGGUAGCAUGGAGAGCACUUGCCUGUAACAUCGCUAAGAGUCAGACCCAACUAAAUGGUUAAAAUAAUAACGGUGGCAAAGAUAUAUCACCAAUUAAUCUUCUGCCUUCUUUCUCAUCCAAAUAUAUUUGAAAAUGUUGGGAUUUUAUUGUAGAGAUAUCAAAACAGUUAAUAUUCAGUAUUGUUUUGACUGCACAGUUGCUUGAUACAUUUAAGUGUUUUCGCUGUAUUUUUAAUCAUAUGUCAGGUAUAUCAAACUCCCUUUGACUCAAAGCUGAAUAAAUUGGUUCCACUGCAACCCUCCACAUGAGUCAGGGCAGGGGAGAGUUUUGCCUGAGGCCUAUGCUUAAGAACUUGGCAUACAGUCAUGUGCCUUUGAAGAGGCCACAACAAGGUAUUUACCAUGUAUUUUCACAUAACCAGCCAGAAUGAAAGAGCUCAAGUGCAUCACAUUCAUAUAAUAGCUAGAUACAUACGUUGUUAUCAGCAUAAGCUACCAGUUCCAGUUAAAUGCUAGUGGUGUGCACCUUAUCUUUACCCUUGUUAUGACUAUAUUUUCCCUCAGGUCCUUGGAAAAUAAGGAAAAUCUAAGCCUAGAAAUGACAACUUUGCUGAUGAUGAAGAUCAGAACAAUGAGAAAAAAACAAGACCUUUCCAUUUUAAAUGCAGCAGAGAAAAGAUCCUUAUUGCUUGAAAGCAACUAUUCACUAUUGCUUGAAAGUCAAAAGUCUACAUUGAUUUACUCAAAUCCCGUAAGAGUUCCCUGUAAUCUAAUUAAUUUCCUCUUUUUAAUUGUUGUACAGGAAAAUUAAACGUUUGCUGAAUACUACUAAGUAGUUAAAAUUGUAUUUGAUUUGGGAUGAGAUUAGUCAGAAAUCCUUUACCAAUGAAGGUAUUCUAAUUAUAUUUUAAACCUUUAGUAACAGUUCUGCAAAUAAGUCACUCUUAGAAACUGUGAGAUGUUUAUCAUCUUGUCUCUCUUAUUUUUCUUAAAAUGAAUGUUCAAAUAAUAGGACAUUGUCAAAGGAAGAGCAUAGUUAUGCUUUAUCUUUUAACACUAGUCAUCUGCUUAUACAUUGACAGGAAUUGAAUGAUAAUGGGAAAUUAUAUUGAUAGACAUUAGCAGUAUCUAAUAGACUCCAUAGUAAUUUUGGCCGUUGAUAACAAUUUAACAACUAUGCUAUCUUAAAAACACCUGUAUUUGUUUCAUGCACACGUUUCAUGGUUAAGGAAAGGUUUCUACAACAAAGGUAGAAUUUCAUAAAAUAUAUCUAGAUUGCAUCCUCCCAAAAUAAUGAAAUAAUAAUAUUUAUUGUUAAAAUGAAUAUGCUCCAACAUACUGAAAAGCUCUAAGCCAGGGGUGUCAAACUUGUGACCUCAUGGCAGCGUUGCAUGACAUAUUGUGGCUUUUUCCCCCUUCGCUAAAUUAGGCGUGGCCAGCGUGUGACGCAUCCAGCCCGCGGGGCACGAGUUUAACAGCUCUGCUCUAAGGUGUAUCAAUUGAUGGUUUUAUCUGAUAGGAAGUAUUUUUGCAAAUUAAGAGUAUCUCAAUUUUGACCAAUCACAACCCCUUAAAAUCCCCAUUUCCUUCAGGUUUUUUGGUGGGCAGUGGUUGCGGGGGAGGGGAAGGUAAACAGCUUUUUGGAACAAAAUGAUAUAUGAUAUGGAGGAUUCUAUUAGAUAGAAUUACAGGGGAAAAACCUCUACCUUACAGAAAUGGUUGAAUUUUCUUUGAACAAUUGUUUGUUUCUGCAAUAAAAACUCAGAAAAGGCAUUAAUAACUGUCUUCAAAGUUAUUAGAACUUUGAAAGUUCAAUUCAAAUAAUAGUUGUAUCUGAAAUUAUUAAAACCAAAAAAAUAAAAGUCAAGGAGCUGUCA